AUGCAAGUCAAGCGCUUUCUAGCUAAUGUGAGAGCGUGGCGUACAGCUCAGUAACACGUGGCCAACCUGCCCUUGGGACGGGAACACCCCCGGGAAACUGGGGUUAAUUCCCGAUAGGUGAAGAAGUCUGGAAUGACUCUUCGCUCAAAAGACGUUUAUGUCAUGCUCAUAUUCGUCGCCCAGGGAUGGGGCCGCGACCGAUCAGGUUGUUGGUGAGGCAAUGGCUCACCAAGCCUUUUACCGGUGCGGGCCGUGAGAGCGGGAGCCCGGAGAUGGGCACUGAGACAAAGGCCCAGGCCCCACGGGGCGCAGCAGUCGCGAAAAUUUUGCAAUACACGAAAGUGUGACAGAGCUAUCCCGAGUGCCAUCCGCUGAGGAAGGCUUUUACCCAGUAUAAAUAGCUGGGAGAAUAAGGAGAGGGCAAGUCUGGUGUCAGCCGCCGCGGUAAUACCAGCUCUCCGAGUAGUGUGGACGUUUAUUGGGCCUAAAGCAUCCGUAGCUUGCUAGAUAAGUCCUCUGUUAAAUCCACCGAUUCAAUCGUUGGAUUGCGGGGGAUACUGUUUGGCUAGGGGACGGGAGAGGUCGACGGUAUUUCCGGGGUAGGGGUGAAAUCCUAUAAUCCCGGGAGGACCACCAGUGGCGAAAGCUGUCGACUAGAACGCGCCCGACGGUGAGGGAUGAAAGCUGGGGGAGCGAACCGGAUUAGAUACCCGGGUAGUCCCAGCUGUAAACGAUGCACGCUAGGUGUUUGGGCGGCCACGAGCCGCCCUAGUGCCGCAGGAAGCUGUUAAGCCUGCCGCCUGGGGAGUACGGCCGCAAGGCUGAAACUUAA
rnacentral:rRNA from 1 species